GUGAGAGCAAGAGCCCGGAGAUGGAUUCUGAGACACGAAUCCAGGCCCUACGGGGUGCAGCAGGCGCGAAAACUUUACAAUGCUGGCAACAGCGAUAAGGGAACCUCGAGUGCCAGGUUACAAAUCUGGCUGUCGAGAUGCCUAAAAAGCAUUUCAUAGCAAGGGCCGGGCAAGACCGGUGCCAGCCGCCGCGGUAACACCGGCGGCUCGAGUGGUAACCGUUAUUAUUGGGUCUAAAGGGUCUGUAGCCGGCCGGAUAAGUCUCUUGAGAAAUCUGGCAGCUUAACUGUCAGGCUUUCAGGAGAUACUGUCUGGCUCGAGGCCGGGAGAGGUGAGAGGUACUUCAGGGGUAGGGGUGAAAUCUUGUAAUCCUUGAAGGACCACCAGUGGCGAAGGCGUCUCACCAGAACGGACCUGACGGCAAGGGACGAAAGCUAGGGGCACGAACCGGAUUAGAUACCCGGGUAGUCCUAGCCGUAAACGAUACUCGCUAGGUGUCGGCCACGGUGCGACCGUUGUCGGUGCCGUAGGGAAGCCGUGAAGCGAG
rnacentral:rRNA from 1 species